GACCUGCUAGCACAAUGCCAGUGUAUCUGCUCAAUGUCAUCCGUGUCGUCCAGUAAUAGAUUCACAAGCAGAAGAUCCCCGUUCGAUUCGGGGGCGGGUCA